rnacentral:tRNA from 1 species
AGCUCAGUGGUUCAAUGGUAAAGCGCUGGUAGUGGAGCCAGAGGUUCCUGGGUUCGACCCCCAACAGGGUCG